rnacentral:rRNA from 1 species
GACGAACGCUGGCGGCGUGCUUAACACAUGCAAGUCGAACGGUAAGGCUCCAGCUUGCUGGGGUACACGAGUGGCGAACGGGUGAGUAACACGUGGGUGACCUGCCCUGCACUUCGGGAUAAGCCUGGGAAACUGGGUCUAAUACCGGAUAGGACCAUGGUGUGGAUACUGUGGUGGAAAGUUUUUUCGGUGUGGGAUGGGCCCGCGGCCUAUCAGCUUGUUGGUGGGGUAAUGGCCUACCAAGGCGGCGACGGGUAGCCGGCCUGAGAGGGUGGACGGCCACAUUGGGACUUAGACACGGCCCAGACUCCUACGGGAGGCAGCAGUUGGGAAUAUUGCACAAUGGGCGGAAGCCUGAUGCAGCGACGCCGCGUGGGGGAUGACGGCCUUCGGGUUGUAAACUCCUUUCCCCCUCGACGAAGGGUUUCUGACGGUAGAUGGAGAAGAAGCACCGGCUAACUACGUG